rnacentral:rRNA from 1 species
UACGUAGGGGGCAAGCGUUGUCCGGAUUUAUUGGGCGUAAAGAGCGUGUAGGCGGCCAGGUAGGUCCGUUGUGAAAACUCGAGGCUCAACCUCGAGACGCCGAUGGAAACCAUCUGGCUAGAGUCCGGAAGAGGAGAGUGGAAUUCCCGGUGUAGCGGUGAAAUGCGCAGAUAUCGGGAAGAACACCCGUGGCUAAGGCGGCUCUCUAGUACGGUACUGACGCUGAGGUGCGAAAGCGUGGGGAGCAAACAGG